rnacentral:rRNA from 1 species
CUACGUAGGGUGCGAGCGUUGUCCGGAAUUACUGGGCGUAAAGAGCUCGUAGGUGGUUUGUCGCGUCGUCUGUGAAAUUCCGGGGCUUAACUCCGGGCGUGCAGGCGAUACGGGCAUAACUUGAGUACUGUAGGGGAGACUGGAAUUCCUGGUGUAGCGGUGAAAUGCGCAGAUAUCAGGAGGAACACCGGUGGCGAAGGCGGGUCUCUGGGCAGUAACUGACGCUGAGGAGCGAAAGCAUGGGUAGCGAACAGGAUUAGAUACCCUGGUAGUCCAUGCCGUAAACGGUGGGCGCUAGGUGUAGGGGUCUUCCACGACUUCUGUGCCGUAGCUAACGCAUUAAGCGCCCCGCCUGGGGAGUACGGCCGCAAGGCUAAAACUCAAAUGAAUUGGCGGGG